rnacentral:rRNA from 1 species
GUCCACGCCCUAAACGAUGGCAACUAGUUGUUGGGGGAGCAAUCCCUUAGUAACGCAGCUAACGCGUGAAGUUGCCCGCCUGGGGAGUACGGUCGCAAGAUUAAAAACUCAAAGGAAUUGACGGGGGCCCGCACAAGCGGUGGAUGAUGUGGAUUAAUUCGAUGCAACGCGAAAAACCUUACCUACCCUUGACAUGGCAGGAACCCCGAUGAGAGUUGGGGGUGCUCGAAAGAGAACCUGCACACAGGUGCUGCAUGGCUGUCGU